rnacentral:lncRNA from 1 species
GGGUUAUAUUGACUCCAAGAGUAAGUUUUAUAACUUACUCCAAAUCUUGACCUUUGAUUUUAAUUCCAAUUAAUGGCUAAGAUUGAUUGAUAAUAAUUAUUAAGGUGAGACUUAUUUCUUUGUUGCACUGGAAAAUAAGGAUGAUCAAAACAUACCUCAAAUAGAAUGAAUUAAUUAAUUCUUCUACCAUAAAAAAAGAAGAAAU